CCUGCCCCUAGAAGCUAUGCAAGUAUGGCUGUUGUGUCACAUGUUUGCCAGUAGGUGGCAUGAACAACUGGAGUACAUGAAAAAUCUGGUGUUUUACUGAAUCUGAUCUGAAUCUGCAGGAUCUCCAUGACA